rnacentral:rRNA from 1 species
CGCGUAGGCGGUUUGGUCAGUCAGAUGUGAAAGCCCCGGGCUCAACCUGGGAACUGCAUUUGAUACUGCUGAACUAGAAUGUGGUAGAGGGAAGUGGAAUUCCGGGUGUAGCGGUGAAAUGCGUAGAGAUCCGGAGGAACAUCAGUGGCGAAGGCGGCUUCCUGGACCAACAUUGACGCUGAGGGUGCGAAAGCGUGGGUAGCAAACA